GAGGCGCCAAAAGGUUCCCUCAGAAUGGUUGGAACUCCUUCGACGUGUGUACAGGCGGACGGGAGCUUGCCCGCGAGACACACAUGUCGGGCAGGGACGAAAGUCGGGCUUAGUGAUCCGGUGGUUCCGCAUGGAAGCGCCAUCGCUCAACGUAUAAAAUCUACCAUGGGGAUACCAGGCUUAUCUCCCCCAAGCGUCCCCAUCGACGGGGAGGUUUGUCACCUCGAUGUCUGCUCCUCGCAUCCUGGGGCUUUAGUCGGUCCCAAGGGUUGGGCUGUUCGCCCAUUAAAGCGGCACGCCAGCUGGGUUCAGAACGUCGUGAGACAGUUCGGUCCCUAUCCGUCGCGGGCGUUGGAAAUUUGAGAGGAGCUGUCCUUAGUACGAGAGGACCGGGAUGGACUUACCGCUGGUGUACCAGUUGUUCUGCCAAGGGCAUUGCUGGGUAGCUAUGUAGGGAAGGGAUAAACGCUGAAAGCAUCUAAGUGUGAAGCCCACCUCAAGAUGAGAUUUCCCAUUUCUUUAAGAAAGUAAGAUCCCUGAGAGAUGAUCAGGUAGAUAGGUCAGGAGUGGAAGUACAGUGAUGUAUGGAGCGGACUGAUACUAAUCGAUCGAGGACUUAACCAAU
rnacentral:rRNA from 1 species